rnacentral:rRNA from 1 species
GACGAACGCUGGCGGCGUGCUUAACACAUGCAAGUCUACGAGAACGAGGUAGCAAUAUCUUUAGUAAAGUGGCGCACGGGUGCGUAACACGUAAGUAACCUACCUUUAGAUUUGGAAUAACCCCGAGAAAUCGGGGCUAAUACCGAACGAUGCAGCGGCACCACAUGGUGAUGUUGUUAAAGUCUAUAUGACGUCUAAAGAUGGGCUUGCGUCUGAUUAGCUAGUUGGUGAGGUAACGGCCCACCAAGGCAACGAUCAGUAGCUGGUCUGAGAGGAUGAUCAGCCACACUGGAACUGAGACACGGUCCAGACUCCUACGGGAGGCAGCAGUGAGGAAUAUUGGGCAAUGCCCGAAAGGGUGACCCAGCAACGCCGCGUGGAGGAUGAAUGCCGUAAGGUUGUAAACUCCUGUUAGAGGGGAAGAAAAAUCUCGAUCAAAUCGAGAACUGACUGUACCCUCAGAGAAAGCCCCGGCUAACUACGUGCCAGCAGCCGCAGUAACAC